CGAAAUAAGUUGAAGUGUCCGCACACUGCUGGCAGAACACCUUUUGCUCUAAUUCGCGAGGUGACCGAGUAGAUCAAGAAAUGGGUGAUGAAGACGAUGAAGAACUAGACCUUACUUGAAAUGAAUUUUGAAUUGUUACAGAUGAAUGUUCUAGGAAUCUUUUGUUACCAACAUUUUUGAACUUAUUUACGCUCUUUAAUUGUACUAAAUUUAUGCACUCAUGGGGUAGAACAUUUGCUUUAUGGAUAUUAUUGUUUGAUGGAUAAUUUUGUAUUAUUAAUAGUUUCAUUUUAUGAUA